UCAUGAACUACAGGAAAUAACAUAUCAAUUUAGAUUUCAGUAGACCUAUUCCAUGUAUAAGUAUAAUUGAAUUGUAAUCCAUGUGAUGGUAAGUAUACUAAAGCAUUUUUUAUUUUUUAUAGUCAAGAUGGGGUGUGUUACAGAUAUGUGUAUCUUUUUUAUGCUGCUGUUGUUUGAUCAAGUGGAUAUGAGCUAGCCUCGUCCCUUUGCUUCUCGGCGGGCCUAUCACGCUCUAGAUGGCUAUGACGUCACUGGCCCUUCCUGCUCUCGCCCCCGUUCCCCCGAGAAGCCUGGCAGAUUCUUCCGAAAGCGCCACAAAUGGCGUCUAUCCCUUUGACUGAAGCGACGUCAUUUUUGGCAGCCCUAAAAAACAUGCUUUCUAUCAUCAAAGCUUUAAAGAGUAAGAAAUACCACAUUUUCUUCAUGGAUCAGCAGCUGGAAAUCCCACCAGUUAUAAGUCACCAAGAUUUGCUGCCAAAAAGUCAUUACAGCGACAUUCGAGCCAAGAAGUCCAAACAUCAUUUACAAAUAUGCACAUGAAUGCUGUUAACAUCCGUUGAUCUAGUAUCCCUCCUCCCUUUAACAUUUUUAUGAUCCUCAAAAUGAAGCGUCCAGCCAUCUAACCUUGGGACUGGGUGAUGACUUGUUCCUCUGCGCCGGGUCACGUACAGGGACGAGUCGAAGGGAGCUGCUAAAGACGAUAGACACUCUAAGUUUUCCCGACGCUGCCAUAUCAUCGAAACAUAAGAGCUUUCUAAAAAUGGGGCAUGUUCCUCCUGUCCCAUUAACUUGUCCCAUUUACUUCAUAAUAUUAUUGCCUAACGUAGUAAUUAGAUACAGGACUAUUUGCGUUUUUCAUUGUCUUUAUAUUAGAAUUAAUAAGGGGAAAAGAACAAAUUAUUCCUCACUGUACUUCAGCCUUUCUUUAAACGAUUUACCACUUUUAUCCUUUUAAUCCUGGUACUCAAUUUUCCUUCAUUAGAGCGGACCUUCCAGUCGAGUGGGGAUGUGGGGUGGGGUUCCCCCUUGCUUCAUGAUCGUGCACCCCCUAUAAACAUUUCGAGGCGUGCUUCAGCUCUGUGCUAUUUGGUUCUAAAAUCGACCCCGGAUAACUUUGAACCCUGAGUAACAUGGACCUUUAGCUACUACUUCAAACUGUGUAUACAUUCUUUAUAUUUAUGUACCCUCGGUAAGUCGAAAAUAAAGUGUCGCGAAAAGUU